CAGUCGAACGGCAGCACGGGGGCAACCCUGGUGGCGAGUGGCGAACGGGUGAGUAACACAUCGGAACGUACCCAGUUGUGGGGGAUAACCAGUCGAAAGACGGGCUAAUACCGCAUGAUCUGGCGACAGCAAAGCGGGGGAUCGGUAACGACCUCGCGCGAUUGGAGCGGCCGAUGUCCGAUUAGCUAGUUGGUGGGGUAAAGGCCCACCAAGGCUUUGAUCGGUAGCUGGUCUGAGAGGAUGAUCAGCCACACUGGGACUGAGACACGGCCCAGACUCCUACGGGAGGCAGCAGUGGGGAAUUUUGGACAAUGGGGGCAACCCUGAUCCAGCCAUGCCGCGUGAGUGAAGAAGGCCUUCGGGUUGUAAAGCUCUUUCGGUAGGAACGAAACGGUUACGGCUAAUACCUGUGACUAAUGACGGUACUUACAGAAGAAGCACCGGCUAACUACGUGCCAGCAGCCGCG
rnacentral:rRNA from 1 species